UACAGAGGGUGCGAGCGUUGUUCGGAAUUACUGGGCGUAAAGGGCGCGUAGGCGGCCCGCUAAGUCGAACGUGAAAUCCCCGAGCUCAACUCGGGAACUGCGUCCGAUACUGGUGGGCUUGAAUCCGGGAGAGGGAUGCGGAAUUCCAGGUGUAGCGGUGAAAUGCGUAGAUAUCUGGAGGAACACCGGUGGCGAAGGCGGCAUCCUGGACCGGCAUUGACGCUGAGGCGCGAAAGCUAGGGGAGCAAACGGGG
rnacentral:rRNA from 1 species